rnacentral:tmRNA from 1 species
GUCAAGGUUUCGACGGGGUUUUUGAAGCUGGAGAAGCAAGCCGUUGCAACACGUUAAUUGCAAAAUUAAAAUUAAACGCUAACAAUAAAUUAGCUUACGCUGCCUAAUCGCAGCUGUCUUACCUUUCGCACCUACACCUAAGGCUAAGGCAUCGACUUUGUAGGAAACGACAUAUACUAAGCUUUGCGUAUAUGGGCGUAUCAUGAAGCUACCGAAUGCAUCCGGGUGUCAGCCACUGUAUGCAGGAGGGAAUGCGAAUCGACUGAAUAAGCUUGUAGAAGUACAGUGAAUGGGGCUUCGGACACGGGUUCGACUCCCGUCUGGUCCACU